rnacentral:rRNA from 1 species
CCUACGGGAGGCAGCAGUGGGGAAUUUUGGACAAUGGGCGAAAGCCUGAUCCAGCAAUGCCGCGUGAGUGAAGAAGGCCUUCGGGUUGUAAAGCUCUUUUGUCAGGGAAGAAACGGUGAAGGCUAAUAUCUUUUGCUAAUGACGGUACCUGAAGAAUAAGCACCGGCUAACUACGUGCCAGCAGCCGCGGUAAUACGUAGGGUGCAAGCGUUAAUCGGAAUUACUGGGCGUAAAGCGUGCGCAGGCGGUUUUGUAAGUCUGUCGUGAAAUCCCCGGGCUCAACCUGGGAAUUGCGAUGGAGACUGCAAGGCUAGAAUCUGACAGAGGGGGGUAGAAUUCCACGUGUAGUAGUGAAAUGCGUAGAGAUGUGGAGGAACACCGAUGGCGAAGGCAGCCCCCUGGGUCAAGAUUGACGCUCAUGCACGAAAGCGUGGGGAGCAAACAGGAUUAGAUACCCUGGUAGUCCACGCCCUAAACGAUGUCUACUAGUUGUCGGGUUUUAAUUAACUUGGUAACGCAGCUAACGCGUGAAGUAGACCGCCUGGGGAGUACGGUCGCAAGAUUAAAACUCAAAGGAAUUGACGG